AUGAAUUAAUUCCUCCCACUGUCAGCUAGAAGCCAUCCCUGGCUGAGCCCUGCACUGGCCAGAGGCAACUGAGUGUGAGCCAGUCCAGGGUCAGAUCCUGGGCUGAUGCCACCUGAGGGCGGGGUGGGGGCGUGGCCUCCGUGCACAUGGGAGACUCCAGGUGCAGGAGAGGGGGAGGUGGACUUCCUCUUGGUCUUCCCAAGCCAUGAAACUUCCUGGCUUGGUGGUAACAGAAGAGUCUCCUCCAGGACGGACUAGCCAGUCCUAACACAGGACUAGCGUUGCUCUACCACGUCCAAGCCUCCUCUGAGAUUCUUCCUCCAUGCAACCACUUCCCCUGGGGCGUGGCCACCUCCCUGGAAGCCGCCAGCAUGCUCGGCUGGGCCCCCGCACUCUGGAGGCUUGAGAAUCUCUCUAUUUUUGAAUGACGUCCUUAUCCUCUGCCCCCAGGCUGUUCCCUUGAAGAAUCCACCUUCCUGCAGGGUUGGGGGAGCGCAGAAUGGGAGGAAGAUACAAAUACCAAUUUUAUAGCAAGAAUGCAAAAAGAGGCCAGCGCGGUGGCUCGAGCCUGGAAUCCCAGCACUUUGGA
rnacentral:lncRNA from 10 species